rnacentral:lncRNA from 1 species
CAGGGGCUCACCCUCUGGACGCCUGGAUGGGAAAGGCCACAGGGUAAAAAGGCGGCAGUCGCCCGCCAGUGUUGUGUAACUUUGAGUCACUUUGACACCAUUCUGCAGGGAGCCUACUACUCAGGCCUCCAUUGUCUCGGUGGCAGAGCUUGUGCCAGUUAUGUUUAGUUGCCAGCUUUUGACUGUCAUAAUGCUUCCAUUUGAAACAUUGAUUGAGCUAAAGAUUCACGUUUUUUGUUUUGGAAAAUGUAGCCACUUUUCAUUUUAAAAUGUGUGUUAACAGGUAGUAAGUUUGUUAUUGUUAUUUUUAUGUAGCUAAAUAAUUUUAAAUGUCCUCUUAAUUCCUAGUAUGGUAAAUGUCAAUAGAUAAAGCUCACAUAAACAAAAGCUCUUUGGGGUCCUGUAUAAUUUUUAAGAAUUUAAACGGUUCCAGAAGCUAAAGGGCUUGAGAGGGGCUAACACAAAGCUCUGUGGCCCGCUGGUGACAGGUGCGUCACUGAUACUGCAGCCCCAUCCUCGUGCCCUCGUGUAAAACAGGGA